rnacentral:rRNA from 1 species
UACGUAGGUGGCAAGCGAUACUCGGAAUCACUAGGCGUAAAGCGCAGGUAGGCGGUUUGGUAAGUCUUUUGUGAAAGCUCCCGGCUCAACUGGGAGAGGUCAAGGGAAACUACCGGACUAGAGUGUGGUAGGGGAUACUGGAAUUCCUGGUGUAGCGGUGAAAUGCGUAGAUAUCAGGAGGAAUACCUAUGGCGAAAGCAGGUAUCUGGGCCAUAACUGACGCUGAGGAGCGAAAGCGUGGGGAGCGAACAGG